rnacentral:rRNA from 1 species
GCGGGCUGGCUUCUCUCAGGAGGACAGCCUUGCUGAACUAUUCACCCGUGAUCAUUACACAAAUAUGAAGGCGGGCUGGCUUCUCUCAGGAGGACAGCCUUGCUGAACUAUUCACCCGUGUCUUUUGCGUACUUCUUGUUUCCUUGGUGGGCUCGCCCACCACAAGGACAAAUUCAAACCUUUUGUAAUUGCAAUCAGCGUCAGUAACAAAAUAAUUAAAUUACAACUUUCAACAACGGAUCUCUUGGUUCUGGCAUCGAUGAAGAACGCAGCGAAAUGCGAUAAGUAGUGUGAAUUGCAGAAUUCAGUGAAUCAUCGAAUCUUUGAACGCACAUUGCGCCCUUUGGUAUUCCAAAGGGCAUGCCUGUUCGAGCGUCAUUUGUACCCUCAAGCUUUGCUUGGUGUUGGGCGUCUUGUCUCCAGUUUGCUGGAGACUCGCCUUAAAGUCAUUGGCAGCCGGCCUACUGGUUUCGGAGCGCAGCACAAGUCGCACUCCCAUUCUAGCCAAGGUCAGAGCAUCCACCAAGCCUUUUUUUCAACUUUGACCUCGGAUCAGGUAG